rnacentral:rRNA from 1 species
GGGAUUGCCCUAGUAACGGCGAGUGAAGCGGCAACAGCUCAAAUUUGAAAUCUGGCCCUCGGGUCCGAGUUGUAAUUUGUAGAGGAUGCUUUUGGUGAGGUGCCUUCCGAGUUCCCUGGAACGGGACGCCAUAGAGGGUGAGAGCCCCGUCUGGUUGGACACCGAGCCUCUGUAAAGCUCCUUCGACGAGUCGAGUAGUUUGGGAAUGCUGCUCUAAAUGGGAGGUAUAUGUCUUCUAAAGCUAAAUACCGGCCAGAGACCGAUAGCGCACAAGUAGAGUGAUCGAAAGAUGAAAAGCACUUUGAAAAGAGAGUUAAAAAGUACGUGAAAUUGUUGAAAGGGAAGCGCUUAUGACCAGACUUGGGCUUGGUUGAUCAUCCUGGGUUCUCCCUGGUGCACUCUUCCAGUUCAGGCCAGCAUCAGUUCGCUGCGGGGGAUAAAAGUUUUGGGAAUGUGGCUCCUUCGGGAGUGUUAUAGCCCAUUUCAUAAUACCCUGCUCCGGACUGAGGUUCGCGCAUCUGCAAGGAUGCUGGCGUAAUGGUCAUCAGCGACCCGUCUUGAAACACGGACCAAGGAGUCGUCUUCGUAUGCGAGUGUUCGGGUGUUAAACCCCUACGCGUAAUGAAAGUGAACGCAGGUGAGAGCUUCGGCGCAUCAUCGACCGAUCCUGAUGUUCUCGGAUGGAUUUGAGUAAGAGCAUACGGGGCCGGACCCGAAAGAAGGUGAACUAUGCCUGUAUAGGGUGAAGCCAGAGGAAACUCUGGUGGAGGCUCGCAGCGGUUCUGACGUGCAAAUCGAUCGUCAAUAUGGGCAUGGGGGCGAAAGACUAAUCGAACCUUCUAGUAGCUGGUUUCCGCCGA